UCAAUCGUGCAUCACAACCAUUUCAGAGGAAACACAAAAACAUUGAUUCAAUACGAACUGCGACGAAUGUGGCACUCAUUGGUCAAAGUGGUCAUGAAACACAAGAGAUCAGUCAAGAGGAACACCUAAUCUAAUAGCAAUGAUCUAACCAACAUCAAAUGGUUCUUCAUCCUUCCCACCUAUUUACAAACUGUUCAUCAACAUCAAACAAUCUGUGGUUCACAAUGCAUAAACGUGGGAGAGCAUCUGACAAACCCCUUCUCUAGCUAGAUCCCCCACCAUUCUCUGAAAGUAUUAUUCUUUUCCUUUUCUGGAUAGGACCAAACCAAAACAAAACAAAUUGUCUCACCUCUUGUUUUCCAGAGCCAAUAAUGUCAUGGGGAAGAAUUAUUUUUGAAUCUAAUGUGGGAACAUGGGUGGGGUUUGUGAUGAUGGAUCAAGAUGAAUGAGAGCCGUCGUUGCAAGGAACGGUGGAGAUGAUGCCUUGCUUACAG
rnacentral:lncRNA from 1 species